UCUUCCUUGGUCUAGUGGUCAUGAUUUCCGCUUGUCAAGGCCGUAGGCUUUACAAGCGCGGGAGACCGGGGUUCGAUUCCCCGAGGGAGAG